rnacentral:rRNA from 1 species
AGUAAUGCUCGGGAAUCUAGCUUAUGGAGGGGGAUAACUAUGGGAAACUGUAGCUAAUACCGCGUAGAAUCGGGAGAUGAAAGUGUGGGACCUUCGGGCCACAUGCCAUAGGAUGAGCCCAAGUGGGAUUAGGUAGUUGGUGAGGUAAAGGCUCACCAAGCCGACGAUCUCUAGCUGGUCUGAGAGGAUGACCAGCCACACUGGGACUGAGACACGGCCCAG